AAGUCCAAGCUGUGUUCACACGGCGAGACCGCGGACGGCUCAUUAAAUCAGUCGUGGUCCAAAUGGGCCAGUGCAAAUCCUACUUGGAUAACUGUGGUAAUUCCAGAGCUAAUACAUGCAACUGAUAUCCCGAAGGCGGUGUAGGUGCUUGCUUGCCUUGCGCUUGCGCUGCUCUGACGGAUGCUUUUAUUAGACCAAGCCGCUGAGGACUUGAGGGUUCGCGCUCUCUUGUUUGACUCGUGUGAUGGUGACUCUGGAUAACCAAAUUCUGACAAGCGCACGUACUUCUCUUCUGAGCGAGACGGCGCUGCCACUUUCGAGUGUCUGCCUUAUCAGCUAUCAACCGUUCGUUAUGCGCGACCGAUGGCUUUGACGGGUAACGGGGAAUCAGGGUUCGAUUCCGGAGAGGCAGCCUGAGAGACGGCUACCACGUCCAAGGACGGCAGCAGGCACGCAAAUUACCCAAUCCCAGCAAAUGGGGGAGGUAGUGACGAAAUCUAACGAUGCGGGCGCCCUUUCUGGGGCCCCGCAAUCGGAAUGGGCACUUUCUAAACAACCUGUUGAGAACCUACUGAAGGGCAAGUCUGGUGCCAGCAGCCGCGGUAAUUCCAGCUUCAGCAGCAUCUAUUAAAGUUGCUGCGGUUAAAAGGCUCGCAGUUGAAUGUCUGUAUCGAGCGCAGGUCAGGUGGACGUU
rnacentral:rRNA from 1 species